GUAGAUGCUCAUUCCACUUAUUAUGUUUGCUCCGGCUUCAUAAACCCAGGAAUGACGCAGAGCCGUUUACGGUGCUUAUCGUCCACAGACAGAUGUCGCUUCGGCCUCAUCAAACACCAUGGACAUAACGUUGAGUGAAGCACCACAUUUGUUGUCAAACAGACCUGUUUUGAUACCUGCCUUCGGGCAGGUAUUUUUUU
rfam:Cronobacter sakazakii ATCC BAA-894, complete genome.